GAUGAACGCUGGCGGCGUGCCUAAUACAUGCAAGUCGAGCGAACGGACGAGAAGCUUGCUUCUCUGAUGUUAGCGGCGGACGGGUGAGUAACACGUGGAUAACCUACCUAUAAGACUGGGAUAACUUGGGAAACCGGAGCUAAUACCGGAUGAUAUUUUGAACCGCCUGGUUCAAAAGUGAAAGACGGUCUUGCUGUCACUUAUAGAUGGAUCCGCGCUGCAUUAGCUAGUUGGUAAGGUAACGGCUUACCAAGGCAACGAUGCAUAGCCGACCUGAGAGGGUGAUCGGCCACACUGGAACUGAGACACGGUCCAGACUCCUACGGGAGGCAGCAGUAGGGAAUCUUCCGCAAUGGGCGAAAGCCUGACGGAGCAACGCCGCGUGAGUGAUGAAGGUCUUCGGAUCGUAAAACUCUGUUAUUAGGGAAGAACAUAUGUGUAAGUAACUGUGCACAUCUUGACGGUACCUAAUCAGAAAGCCACGGCUAACUACGUG
rnacentral:rRNA from 1 species